rnacentral:rRNA from 1 species
CCUACGGNGAGGCAGCAGUAGGGAAUCUUCCGCAAUGGACGAAAGUCUGACGGAGCAACGCCGCGUGAGUGAUGAAGGCUUUCGGGUCGUAAAACUCUGUUGUUAGGGAAGAACAAGUGCUAGUUGAAUAAGCUGGCACCUUGACGGUACCUAACCAGAAAGCCACGGCUAACUACGUGCCAGCAGCCGCGGUAAUACGUAGGUGGCAAGCGUUAUCCGGAAUUAUUGGGCGUAAAGCGCGCGCAGGUGGUUUCUUAAGUCUGAUGUGAAAGCCCACGGCUCAACCGUGGAGGGUCAUUGGAAACUGGGAGACUUGAGUGCAGAAGAGGAAAGUGGAAUUCCAUGUGUAGCGGUGAAAUGCGUAGAGAUAUGGAGGAACACCAGUGGCGAAGGCGACUUUCUGGUCUGUAACUGACACUGAGGCGCGAAAGCGUGGGGAGCAAACAGGAUUAGAUACCCUGGUAGUCCACGCCGUAAACGAUGAGUGCUAAGUGUUAGAGGGUUUCCGCCCUUUAGUGCUGAAGUUAACGCAUUAAGCACNCCGNCUGGGGAGUACGGCCGCANGC